rnacentral:rRNA from 1 species
CCUACGGGAGGCAGCAGUGAGGAAUAUUGGUCAAUGGGCGCGAGCCUGAACCAGCCAAGUCGCGUGAGGGAGGACGGCCCUACGGGUUGUAAACCUCUUUUGCCGGGGAGCAACGGGCGCCACGUGUGGCUUCACUGAGAGUACCCGGAGAAAAAGCAUCGGCUAACUCCGUGCCAGCAGCCGCGGUAAUACGGAGGAUGCGAGCUUUAUCCGGAUUUAUUGGGUUUAAAGGGUGCGUAGGCGGAUCUUUGAGUCAGGGGAAAAAUUUGGGGGCUCAACCCCUUCCCGCCAUUGAAACUGGCGUUCUUGAGUGGAAGAGAAGUAUGCGGAAUGCGUGGUGUAGCGGUGAAGUGUAUAGAUAACACGCAGAACCCCGAUUGCGAAGGCAGCAUGCCGGCUUCCGACUGACGCUGAAGCACGAAAGCGUGGGGAUCGAACAGGAUUAGAUACCCGAGUAGU